rnacentral:rRNA from 1 species
GUAAACGGCUGCAUAAAUCUGAGUGUACUAAGGUAGCGCUAUAAUUUGCCCUUUAAAUGGGGGCUGGUAUGAAUGGGUUCACGUGAGAGUUGCUGUAUCACAAAAAUUUUUUGAAAUUAACUUUUAGGUGAAGAGGCCUAGCUGGGUUUAGAGGACGACAAGACCCUAGAAGCUUUAUUGUCUGCAGGCUAUUGGGUGGUUUGCUUCAGUUUUGUUGGGGCAACAUGGUUAGAAAGUAUAACCUAUUAUCAUAAAACCCACUGGUUAAAACCACGUUAGUGAAUAAGAUAAGCUACUCUAGGGAUAACAGCGUUAUUUUUUUUAAUAGUACGUAUUGUAAAAGAAGUUUGCGACCUCGAUGUUGGAUUAAGGUGUCCUUAAGGCGUAGAAGUUUUAAAGGGUUGGCCUGUUCGUCCAUUAAAACCUUACA